GAGCAGGCUUCAAUUUCUACAGGGUUGUGGGGCGUCAUCCACCAUAUGAAGGGGCUGCAGCAGGUCAGAGAUGUGCAAUGCCCAUCCAGAUUGAGGUGCUGACGCCCUUGCCAGAGCUUGGGUUCAGACAGCUUUGGCCUCAUCUUCCAGCUCAUCUAGGAAAUGCUCCUGGGACACCACGUAGAAGGUGUAACUAUAAAUAGCUAACACCAGGGCCUGAUGCCUGGGCCGCUGUAGGAGUGACCUCGGCCACUGGGCAAGCUGCACCUGCCACAUGAAUUGCAAUUGUGCAGAGUCAGUUUGCCCUGAGUCAGGUCAACGCACUGAGCAAAUGGAGCCUUUCCUCUGUUAGCAUCAGGAGGGACCAGCUCCUGAUGCCAUCGUCCUGCUCCUCCUCCCUUCGCUGAUCACUUGAGCCCAGGAGGGUGAGGCUGCAGUGAGCACAGUGAGCCGAGAUUGUGUCCAUGCCCUCCAGCCUGGACACACUAAGACCCUAUCAAAAAAAAAAAAAGAAAAAUACUAAAAAAA
rnacentral:lncRNA from 1 species